UACGUAGGGUGCAAGCGUUGUCCGGAAUUAUUGGGCGUAAAGCGCGCGUAGGCGGCCCGGUAAGUCCGCUGUGAAAGUCGGGGGCUCAACCCUCGGAUGCCGGUGGAUACUGUCGGGCUUGAGUGCGGAAGAGGCGAGUGGAAUUCCUGGUGUAGCGGUGAAAUGCGCAGAUAUCAGGAGGAACACCAAUUGCGAAGGCAGCUCGCUGGGACGUUACUGACGCUGAUGCGCGAAAGCGUGGGGAGCAAACAGG
rnacentral:rRNA from 1 species